GAUAAACGCUGGCGGCGUGCCCAACACAUGCAAGUCGAACGCUCUCGCGCAAGUGAGGGAGUGGCGGACGGGUGAGUACCACGUGGGUUAUCUGCCUUGAGGUGAGGAAUACCAGCGAGAAAUCGCUGACAAUACCGCAUAGCCUCUGCAAAGAGGAAAGUCGUAAGACGCCCCAAGAUGAGCCUGCGCCCGAUUAGCCAGUUGGUGGGGUAACAGCUCACCAAAGCGACGAUCGGUAGCUGGUCUGAGAGGACGAUCAGCCACACUGGGAUUGAGAACGGCCCAGACUCCUACGGGGGGCAGCAGUGAGGAAUUUUCGGCAAUGGGGGCAACCCUGACCGAGCAACGCCGCGUGCAGGAUGACGGCCUUCGGGUUGUAAACUGCUUUUCUCUGGGACGAGCAAGGACGGUACCAGAGGAAUCAGCCUCGGCUAACUACGUGCCAGCAGCCGCCGUAACAC
rnacentral:rRNA from 1 species